rnacentral:rRNA from 1 species
UACGGAGGGUGCAAGCGUUAUCCGGAUUUAUUGGGUUUAAAGGGUCCGUAGGCGGACCGUUAAGUCAGUGGUGAAAGCCCACAGCUCAACUGUGGAAUUGCCAUUGAUACUGGCGGUCUUGAGUACAUGUGAAGUUGGCGGAAUGUGUGGUGUAGCGGUGAAAUGCUUAGAUAUCACACAGAACACCGAUUGCGAAGGCAGCUGGCUAACAUGUAACUGACGCUGAGGGACGAAAGUGUGGGGAUCAAAC